rnacentral:lncRNA from 1 species
CUAACUUGUUAAACUUAUGUUAAAAUCCUAUCGCAUUUGCAGUUAUUGACUUAAAUGUUGAAGCCAAAUUCACACACCUCUAAUCUCUUUGGUGGCUGAGCUUCGCGCAUUGGCACAUAUCAUGUCAAUUGAAGAUUGUAACCAUGUUGGCCAUGUUGGAAAAUUACACCGAUAUUAUACAUAUUAUAUUCACAAAAUCAUGUCGUUUAUUUGCGUGAAAUCAAAACGCAAUUUCGACUUACAGAGAUAGGAUUUGAGAAGACAAAAUAAGAAUUUAUCGAAUCCGAAUACCUGAAUAUGGAUUCUUUCCUUUCAACUCAUGAUCAAAAACAAAUAAUUCUUUGGAUCAAACCUUGCAGGAUAAACAUAUAAAUAACGUUAAUCAUUUUCUGAAAUCAAAUCAUAAUAAAAGGAAUCAGAAAAUGAAGAAAGAAAAUGCAAAUGACAAAUUUUUGGUCGAGGCAAAUGUUGGACACUUUGUCCUUAAGAUUAAUUUGCCUCGCAUCGGUGCUAACGGUUCUCCGGCAAUCAUCUCCCAAGAUACAACGACCACGUCGAGCCAUAGGAGCACUCCAAAUGACUUUGACCAGCGAACUCGAACGAAAUUCUCUCUCUACCGUGAUCAUGAUCAUGACCAUGACUUUGAUGCAAAUGUUUUAUGCAAAACCAAUGUGUAAAUUGGAAUAAAAUGAUAUGGUAU